GACGAACGCUGGCGGCGUGCUUAACACAUGCAAGUCGAACGGUAAGACUCCAGCUUGCUGGGGUACACGAGUGGCGAACGGGUGAGUAACACGUGGGUGACCUGCCCUGCACUUCGGGAUAAGCCUGGGAAACUGGGUCUAAUACCGGAUAGGACCAUGGUGUGGAUACUGUGGUGGAAAGUUUUUUCGGUGUGGGAUGGGCCCGCGGCCUAUCAGCUUGUUGGUGGGGUAAUGGCCUACCAAGGCGGCGACGGGUAGCCGGCCUGAGAGGGUGGACGGCCACAUUGGGACUGAGACACGGCCCAGACUCCUACGGGAGGCAGCAGUGGGGAAUAUUGCACAAUGGGCGGAAGCCUGAUGCAGCGACGCCGCGUGGGGGAUGACGGCCUUCGGGUUGUAAACUCCUUUCACCAUCGACGAAGGGUUUCUGACGGUAGAUGGAGAAGAAGCACCGGCUAACUACGUG
rnacentral:rRNA from 1 species